rnacentral:rRNA from 1 species
CACGUAGGGGCCAAGCGUUGUCCGGAUUCAUUGGGCGUAAAGAGCUCGUAGGCGGUUCAGUCAGUCGGGUGUGAAAUCUCCGGGCUCAACCCGGAGGGGCCACCCGAUACUGCUGGACUUGAGUUCGGUAGGGGAGUGGGGAAUUCCUGGUGUAGCGGUGAAAUGCGCAGAUAUCAGGAGGAACACCGGUGGCGAAGGCGCCACUCUGGGCCGACACUGACGCUGAGGAGCGAAAGCGUGGGUAGCAAACAGG